GAUUCGGCCAAUUGGUCCAUCUUUUAGAUGAGUACUGGUUGUGUUGGGUCUAUCCGCCUGGUGAUACGUAAUGUCCUUUAUUGGGUGUUGCGGGUAGUCAGGACCUUUACCUUGAAAAAAUUAGAGUGUUUAAAGCAGGCUUAUGCCGGAAUACAUUAGCAUGGAAUAAUAGAAUAGGACGAAGUUGUUUUAUUUUGUUGGUUUCUAGGACAACCGUA
rnacentral:rRNA from 1 species